rnacentral:ncRNA from 1 species
AUCAGACGGCAGCAACAAAAAUGUCGAAAGAUAGCAAAAGAAUCAGU